rnacentral:lncRNA from 1 species
UUGUUAAUAGUAGGUAGAGAUGUCGAAGAUGUAGUCGACAAAGAAGAAUUAGUUUCAGUCAUGUUUCUUGAGAAACAAGAAACACGAUUUUAGAGAAAAAAAUCAGAUCUUUUGCUCUGAUACCAUGAAAUAACUUUAGAAUGUAAAAGUAUAGUUUGUGUUGUUGAUCUCUUUGGCAAUGUGCCUGUAUAUAUACAACGUAGAAGACCUAAAUAGAUAAGGACUUGAGUAACUACAUUGUUAUCUCCUCAUAAGUAGUAUUUAUCCUAUAUACUAUGAUAGUUAUCUUAUUA